rnacentral:rRNA from 1 species
GACGAACCGUGCAAACGUUGUUCGGAAUCACUGGGCUUAAAGGGCGCGUAGGCGGCUUGCCAAGUCAGGGGUGAAAUCUUUCGGCUUAACCGGAAAAGUGCCUUUGAUACUGGCAGGCUUGAGGGAGGUAGGGGCAUGUGGAACUUCCGGUGGAGCGGUGAAAUGCGUUGAUAUCGGAAGGAACGCCGGUGGCGAAAGCGACGUGCUGGACCUCUUCUGACGCUGAGGCGCGAAAGCUAGGGGAGCGAACGGG